rnacentral:misc_RNA from 1 species
GAUGAAGAACGCAGCGAAAUGCGAUAAGUAAUGUGAAUUGCAGAAUUCAGUGAAUCAUCGAAUCUUUGAACGCACAUUGCGCCCGCUGGUAUUCCGGCGGGCAUGCCUGUUCGAGCGUCAUUUCAACCCUCAAGCUCUCCGGAGUUUGGUGUUGGGGCGCCUGGGGCUUUUCGACCUCAGGGCCCUCAAGUCCAUCGGCGGGGCCGCCAGGACACUGAGCGCAGUAGUAUUAUUUCGCUCGGUAGGAUCUUCCACGGCGGGUCGAUCUGGCCGCUAAACCCCCCAAUUCUCACCAAAGGUUGACCUCGGAUCAGGUAGGAAUACCCGCUGAACUUAAGCAUAUCAAUAAGCGGAGGA